rnacentral:rRNA from 1 species
GAUGAACGCUGGCGGCGUGCUUAACACAUGCAAGUCGAACGAAGCACUUUUAAUUGAUUUCUUCGGAAUGAAGUUACUUGUGACUGAGUGGCGGACGGGUGAGUAACGCGUGGGUAACCUGCCUCAUACAGGGGGAUAACAGUUAGAAACGACUGCUAAUACCGCAUAAUGUCAUUUGGGGGCAUCCUUAAAUGACCAAAGCUUAAUGUGCUGAAAGAUGGUCUCGCGUCUGAUUAGCUGGAUGGCGGGGUAACGGCCCACCAUGGCGACGAUCAGUAGCCGGUCUGAGAGGAUGAACGGCCACAUUGGGACUGAGAUACGGCCCAG